GUCUGGGGGUGAGAGGUUCACUUCGGUCAUUGGGCUGAAGAGGAAAGUCCGGACACCACAGAGCAGAAUGCCCCACGAAAGUGGGGGUACGCGGAGAUCAAGGCCGCGUAACGGCCAGUGCAACAGAGAAUAUACCGCCUUCGGGUAAGGGUGAAAAGGUGCGGCAAGAGCGCACCGCGCCUGGAGUGAUUCAGGUGGCAGGGCAAACCCCAUUCGGUGCAAGACAGAAUAGGAGAUAGAGUGGCUCGCUCGUCAGAAAUCUCGGGUUCGUCGCACUUCCUUCCGGGAAGAGGUCCCGAAAGAGACCUUUCGAGAUCUAGAGAAAUGAGCCUCGGGGCCUUGAGCCCCAACAGAAUCCGGCUUACCCCCCAGACCUUU
rnacentral:RNase_P_RNA from 1 species